rnacentral:rRNA from 1 species
CAUGCAAGUCUCUUGAUCCUUCGGGUGAAGGUGGCGGACGGGUGAGUAACGCGUAAAGAACUUGCCUUACAGACUGGGACNACAUUUGGAAACGAAUGCUAAUACCGGAUAUUAUGACUGAGUCGCAUGAUUUGGUUAUGAAAGCUAUAUGCGCUGUGAGAGAGCUUUGCGUCCCAUUAGUUAGUUGGUGAGGUAACGGCUCACCAAGACGAUGAUGGGUAGCCGGCCUGAGAGGGUGAACGGCCACAAGGGGACUGAGACACGGCCCUUACUCCUACGGGAGGCAGCAGUGGGGAAUAUUGGACAAUGGACCAAAAGUCUGAUCCAGCAAUUCUGUGUGCACGAUGAAGUUUUUCGGAAUGUAAAGUGCUUUCAGUUGGGAAGAAGUCAGUGACGGUACCAACAGAAGAAGCGACGGCUAAAUACGUGCCAGCAGCCGCGGUAAUACGUAUGUCGCAAGCGUUAUCCGGAUUUAUUGGGCGUAAAGCGCGUCUAGGCGGUUUAGUAAGUCUGAUGUGAAAAUGCGGGGCUCAACCCCGUAUUGCGUUGGAAAACUGUUAAACUAGAGUACUGGAGAGGUAGGCGGAACUACAAGUGUAGAGGUGAAAUUCGUAGAUAUUUGUAGGAAUGCCGAUGGGGAAGCCAGCCUACUGGACAGAUACUGACGCUAAAGCGCGAAAGCGUGGGUAGCAAACAGGAUUAGAUACCCUGGUAGUCCACGCCGUAAACGAUGAUUACUAGGUGUUGGGGGUCGAACCUCAGCGCCCAAGCUAACGCGAUAAGUAAUCCGCCUGGGGAGUACGUACGCAAGUAUGAAACUCAAAGGAAUUGACGGGGACCCGCACAAGCGGUGGAGCAUGUGGUUUAAUUCGACGCAACGCGAGGAACCUUACCAGCGUUUGACAUCCCAAGAAGUUAACAGAGAUGUUUUCGUGCCUCUUCGGAGGAACUUGGUGACAGGUGGUGCAUGGCUGUCGUCAGCUCGUGUCGUGAGAUGUUGGGUUAAGUCCCGCAACGAGCGCAACCCCUUUCGUAUGUUACCAUCAUUAAGUUGGGGACUCAUGCGAGACUGCCUGCGAUGAGCAGGAGGAAGGUGGGGAUGACGUCAAGUCAUCAUGCCCCUUAUACGCUGGGCUACACACGUGCUACAAUGGGUAGUACAGAGAGCUGCAAACCUGCGAGGGUAAGCUAAUCUCAUAAAACUAUUCUUAGUUCGGAUUGUACUCUGCAACUCGAGUACAUGAAGUUGGAAUCGCUAGUAAUCGCAAAUCAGCUAUGUUGCGGUGAAUACGUUCUCGGGUCUUGUACACACCGCCCGUCACACCACGAGAGUUGGUUGCACCUGAAGUAACAGGCCUAACCGUAAGGAGGGAUGUUCCGAGG